rnacentral:rRNA from 1 species
CAGCAGCCGCGGGAAUACGGAGGGUGCGAGCGUUAUCCGGAUUCACUGGGUUUAAAGGGUGCGCAGGCGGGCUUGUAAGUCAGCGGUGAAAUCUGGGGGCUCAACCCCCAAACUGCCGUUGAUACUACGGGCCUUGGAUGCCGCUGAGGACAGCGGAAUGGGGCAUGUAGCGGUGAAAUGCAUAGAUAUGCCCCGGAACACCGAUUGCGAAGGCAGCUGUCUAAAGGGUUAUCGACGCUGAGGCACGAAAGCGUGGGUAGCGAACAGGAUUAGAUACCCCAGUAGUCCCUGUCUCUUAUAC